ensembl:lncRNA
GACCUAAGUUAGGUGACCAGCCAAUACCAUCACAGUGACCACAAAGACCUAAGUCAGGUGACCAGCCAAUACCAUCACAGUGACCACAAAGGGCCAAAAGCUCAAAGAUGUGGCAGAGUGUAAGACUGCAAGGUGGGAGCACCAUAACCAUCCCGAGGGAGGAAGAUAUUUGAGGGUCGGGCUCCUUAUUGGAGUGAUCUCUUCCAGUGCAGGGGUCGCUAGAGGUUCUCUAAGGGAGACUGGGUUUGAGCUGAGGUUUGAGGUGUGGAUUUCAUUUCAAGAGGCAGGGAAGGGAAAUUGUGCCUUUUACAGGUGAGAUUGUCGGAAUGAGUAAAUUUACAAGACCAGGAUAAGGACAAAUAGGUUUCUCAGAAAGUAAUGCCAGAUCAUCCAAAGAACUUUGACUGAAAAUUGUUUGGAGAAGCAGGAAUGGAGAUUAGGAAAGAGGACCAGGCUUGAAGUUCAGAUCCUUGCAGGAGAGAACUUGCUAUCAAGGGCCAUCUCACCGUAUGUAUUGUCUGAGGACUCAGCUGGGAAGACUAGCGUGUCUGAGGGGGACUCAAGGAACAGGAGCUGGAGUCAUCUGGAGACUUCUUCACACAUGUCUGGUGCCAGACUGAUGCUAGGAUGCCAUGACAACUGGCUCAGGGGGUUACCCACCAGAGUGCCUACCUGUGGCCCCUUCAUGUGACUUGGGCUUCCUUCAAGCAUGGUGGCCUCAGGGUCAUCAUACUUGUGACCUGGAGGCUCAGAGCUCUAAGAGCAAGUGUUCUGGUAAACAAGCCCUUUUAUACCCAGACUCAGAGGCCAGUUCCACCAUCUUCUGUUGAUCAGAGCAGUCACAGACCCUUCCACAGUCAAGGGGAGAGAUGCCUCACCUUCGGUGGAAAGAACGUCAAAGCAUUUGAGGCCAUGCUUUAAAACUGCCACAGAUCCACCCAAAUGGAGAAUGUCCCUCAGUAUCAGAGACAGAGCAGGUUCACAGGGACACGUAGCAGCAAGGUCUCCAGGCGAGGCAGCCAGCAGCGCCACCCGUGGGAGCUGCUCUGGGUCUGGGCACAGGUGCUUCCAUUGUCGUCUGAGCACAAGGCUCAGACCUUCAGUCACAUCAACCUGAGGACUGUGAAGAACUUUCAUGCCAAACUUCCUCCAAGAAGCUCUUUCUGGUCCCCAAGGGUCCAUAUUUCCCAUGACUUCUCUGAUUCAGGAAGAUGAUCCUUGCAGGGCCUCUCCUGGGGCAGUGUUAACCAGACUCAAUGUGCUACUACCGUUGGUGGCAUUUAGUUCCGAUGCUUCUCCCUUGGGCCUUGUCCUCAAAGUCCUGGACCCAGCCUGUGGCCCUGGAGGAAGCUUAUCUUUGUUUGACCUUUUAUCUGAACAACCAUGGGGAUUUCCAGUUUCCAGUUUGGGAUUCUAGUGUACGUCUGUGCAGUGCAUCAUGGACUGACUUCACCCCCUCGAGCAUUACUUUAAAUGUUUAGAGAUAAACUUUGUCAUCUGUGCAUCACUGUGACAGCUACGAAACUAGAAAAGAGAACAUUGAGGCUAUUUUGGGUAGCAUUUUUUUUUUUCAAUUCAAAUAAUCUUGAGUUCCUUAAGACUUACCAGCACUUUUUGGCCAUCUGGUCAGAUUCGUUUGCCACUGGAAAAGCAUUUUACUGUUAGAAUGUUGGGUCCAGGAAUGUCCUCAAUGGGAGCAGCAUGACUUAGAAUGGAAUCUUUGCCUAUUACUCAGACUUGCAACUUGAAUCUCCCAGGAGAAGCUGCUGAUUUUGGUGCUGGAAAAUAUCCUACGAGGACUAUUCUAAGUUAUAUCUCAAGCUGCUUUCCGAACUAAGGAUGCUCUUAUCAGCUUCUGGAACUUUAAGCAAGAGGCCUACUAGGCACAAGCCUUGAUGUUUCAUGAAGAAAUUAUCUUCCUAUUUAUCUUUAAAAGAAUUCAUUUCUAUUUUGAGGGUAAUCCAAGAUAAAAAGGGGCGAUGAGAUGUAGAGAGUGACGGAAGCAAGAGAUGGGAGAAGGAGAUGGGAGCUUGGAGAAGACGUUAGGGAGUGAUAAAGUCACCUGGAUGGAAAUGCAUCUUCUCAGGCUUGGAGCUUCCAGAGUGGGAGAACUCUGUAUUUCUGUGUUUUUGGGAUAUCUCAGUGCCUGGCUCAUGGGAGGACCUCAGGAAUGGAUGGGGGGAUCAAUAGCAACCUGGGGGGUGAGUUUCAGGCAGGAUUCACCCUGGCAAAAUAGCAGUGCCUGGCACACAGAAGACACCAAGCUUGUUAAAUAGCUGAAGAGGAGCUGUCACCUUCAGCCCCAUGCCAUAGCUCGGAUGCAGGCCAUCGUUGGAAGAGGUCCUAAUGACAUCAGAAAGGCGCUGGCAGCCAUAAAUACCCUGAGGUGUUUGGCACCGUACAAAGUGCUUGGGUUUUGGGUUCUGUGGAAGGUUGUUUCUAAAGAUGGUGGCCAAAAUCCUGGCAAGUCCUUAUGCCCUUUUGAAAUGUGGCUUUGUCUCUCCUCUCAUCCUGAGGUGGAGUCCACCGCCUCUCCCGUGGAGUCUGGGAUGGCCCUUUGACCUGCUUUGACCAACAGAAGUAGAAGAAGCAAUGCUAUUUUACAUCCAAAUGUAGGCUUUAGUCUACCUUGUGGUUUCCAUUUUCACUCUUUGGGAGUCCUGAGCCACCACAAAAGGAAGUCCCUCUAUCCUUCUGGAGAAAGCACGUGAAGAAGGAGAGACCCCGGAGAGGGAAACUUGGUGAGAGAAGAGAGGCCUUGGAGGGGGAAAGACCACGGGGCGAGAGGCCCCACUGAGGGGCAGACACAUGAGUGAGGCCUUCUUGGAUCUUCCAGACAAAAGCACAACCUCCUCGGAGAAGCCAGUCAAUACCCUGUGGAGCAGAGAUGAGCACCCCGGCUGAGCCCUGCCCAGCCAACCCACAGGAUUAUGGGCAAUAAAGUAGUUUUUGUUUUAAGCCAUCA